AAUUGAAUUAAGCAUCUUUUCCUUCUUUGGUAGGUGGGAUAGGAGUAUAGAUGAGAAGAACGUGGCAACAGGAUUCUUCCAAUGAUGUUAGCACUGGGCACAGACUACUAUGAUGAUAACAGUGCCUCCCUUGCCUUUGACAUCUUGGGGGACUGAGGAACAGAAUCCUGGCCUGCCUGUUAAAAUUUGUGACUGAGGAAGAAGUUCUUGGGAGUGUUUGAUUGCUGGUAGUGACUGCCAUGUUAGGGAAACACUGGUGCAGGAAGUCCUCAACUUAACAAUUUGUUUAGUGACUGUUCAAAGUUACAACGGCACUGAAAAAGUGACUUACGAUUGUUUUUCAUGCUUACGAUCAUUGCAGCAUCCCCAUGGUCACAUGAUCAGAAUUCAGACACGUGGCAACUGACUCGCACUUAUGACGGUUGCAAUGUUCCCAAUGUGAUCUUCUGAAAGUAUUGUGACCUGACAAGCAAAGUCAGUGGGGAAGCCACAGAUUCAUUUAACAACCAUUACUAACUUAACUGCAGUGAUUCACUUAACUAUGGCAAGGAAGAUCGUAAAAUGAGGCAAAAGUUACUUAAAUGUUUCACUUAGCAACAGAAAUGUUGGGUUCAAUUUGGGUCAUAAAUUGAGGACUACCUGUAUUUGCCAUAACAGAUUGUGCAGAUGUGAUUAUACCAGAUCCUGGAAACAGGAAAUUACUAGCAAACCAAAAGCAACUCCAGAUGUUUCUGCAAAUGGAAGACAUGAGGCCAUUCUACAUGUGGAAUGGUUGAAGUUUCUGGACACCAAAUAAAUGAAGAGACCUCCUUUCCAAAAUGCAGCCUGCCUCAGACUUAAUUCUUUGCCUGCGUUCUUCUCCUGGCUUGGAAUAAGAAAUAAACCAGAUUUAACCUCCAGCAGAACCUUACAAAGGGAAGAAUUGGCAGAACAGAGGGAGAUGAUCUGCCCUUCGCCUCCUGGAAUGGUGGUUCCUCCUUUUCCUAGUAUUUCUUCUCCAAGUGUCUUUUGCUUUUGAGAGACUGAGAAUCUCAUAGUGGAAGGUGAAAUGUUACACAGUAUCUGGCAGGCUUAAUGUGAGCCAGGCUCUUCUGGAAUGUAUGCAAUGUAGCCUACUAGGACCCUUAAAAGGCUGUUGCCUGUCCACAUUUUAACGAGAGCAUCGAGGAAGCCUGCGUGGAGGACCUUCUUCCCCAAGAAGAAACGCAAUUCAGAAAUUUUCCUGGAUCCAAUAUUUGCAAUAGGAGGGAUUUGGCAUUGUUUAUCCAUUAAAUCCCUUAUUCUGUUUUUCGUGCAGAAGUGAGAGGCUUACUUAUCAGAUCCUGAUUAGAAAGCAGUGGGAGGUUUACUUACUUACUCUCUUACUCAAUAAACAUUUCAUUAAUUGGUGAAUAA